rnacentral:rRNA from 1 species
GUGUUCCGACACACUAUCGUUAACUGAAUACAUAGGUUAACGAGGCGAACCGGGGGAACUGAAACAUCUAAGUACCCCGAGGAAAAGAAAUCAACCGAGAUUCCCCCAGUAGCGGCGAGCGAACGGGGAGCAGCCCAGAGUCUGAAUCAGCUUGUGUGUUAGUGGAACGGUCUGGAAAGUCGCACGGUACAGGGUGAUAGUCCCGUACACGAAAGCACACUUGCUGUGAACUCGAAGAGUAGGGCGGGACACGUGGUAUCCUGUCUGAAUAUGGGGGGACCAUCCUCCAAGGCUAAAUACUCCUGACUGACCGAUAGUGAACCAGUACCGUGAGGGAAAGGCGAAAAGAACCCCGGCGAGGGGAGUGAAAAAGAACCUGAAACCGUGUACGUACAAGCAGUGGGAGCCUACUUGUUAGGUGACUGCGUACCUUUUGUAUAAUGGGUCAGCGACUUAUAUUCUGUAGCAAGGUUAACCGUAUAGGGGAGCCGAAGGGAAACCGAGUCUUAACUGGGCGUUAAGUUGCAGGGUAUAGACCCGAAACCCGGUGAUCUAGCCAUGGGCAGGUUGAAGGUUGGGUAACACUAACUGGAGGACCGAACCGACUAAUGUUGAAAAAUUAGCGGAUGACUUGUGGCUGGGGGUGAAAGGCCAAUCAAACCGGGAGAUAGCUGGUUCUCCCCGAAAGCUAUUUAGGUAGCGCCUCGUGAACUCAUCUUCGGGGGUAGAGCACUGUUUCGGCUAGGGGGCCAUCCCGGCUUACCAACCCGAUGCAAACUACGAAUACCGAAGAAUGUUAUCACGGGAGACACACGGCGGGUGCUAACGUCCGUCGUGAAGAGGGAAACAACCCAGACCGCCAGCUAAGGUCCCAAAGUCAUGGUUAAGUGGGAAACGAUGUGGGAAGGCACAGACAGCCAGGAUGUUGGCUUAGAAGCAGCCAUCAUUUAAAGAAAGCGUAAUAGCUCACUGGUCGAGUCGGCCUGCGCGGAAGAUGUAACGGGGCUAAACCAUGCACCGAAGCUGCGGCAGCGACACUAUGUGUUGUUGGGUAGGGGAGCGUUCUGUAAGCCGUUGAAGGUGUCCUGUGAGGGAUGCUGGAGGUAUCAGAAGUGCGAAUGCUGACAUAAGUAACGAUAAUGCGGGUGAAAAGCCCGCACGCCGGAAGACCAAGGGUUCCUGUCCAACGUUAAUCGGGGCAGGGUGAGUCGACCCCUAAGGCGAGGCCGAAAGGCGUAGUCGAUGGGAAACAGGUUAAUAUUCCUGUACUUGGUGUUACUGCGAAGGGGGGACGGAGAAGGCUAUGUUAGCCGGGCGACGGUUGUCCCGGUUUAAGCAUGUAGGCGGGAAGUUUAGGUAAAUCCGGACUUCUUUUAACGCUGAGGUGUGAUGACGAGGCACUACGGUGCUGAAGUAACAAAUGCCCUGCUUCCAGGAAAAGCCUCUAAGCAUCAGGUAACAUCAAAUCGUACCCCAAACCGACACAGGUGGUCAGGUAGAGAAUACCAAGGCGCUUGAGAGAACUCGGGUGAAGGAACUAGGCAAAAUGGUGCCGUAACUUCGGGAGAAGGCACGCUGAUAUGUAGGUGAAGCCCCUGCGGGUGGAGCUGAAAUCAGUCGAAGAUACCAGCUGGCUGCAACUGUUUAUUAAAAACACAGCACUGUGCAAACACGAAAGUGGACGUAUACGGUGUGACGCCUGCCCGGUGCCGGAAGGUUAAUUGAUGGGGUUAUCCGUAAGGAGAAGCUCUUGAUCGAAGCCCCGGUAAACGGCGGCCGUAACUAUAACGGUCCUAAGGUAGCGAAAUUCCUUGUCGGGUAAGUUCCGACCUGCACGAAUGGCGUAAUGAUGGCCAGGCUGUCUCCACCCGAGACUCAGUGAAAUUGAACUCGCUGUGAAGAUGCAGUGUACCCGCGGCAAGACGGAAAGACCCCGUGAACCUUUACUAUAGCUUGACACUGAAC